ACCCUCUCUCUGCUGAAGAAGGAGCGGGUUUCUCUGCUCUGUUGCGGUCUCCUCCGCUCGCGAAGGUUUCUCUCUGCUCACGAAGGUCUCUCUUCCUCCCAAGAGUUCAAGUUUAUAUGUGUAAUGUAGCAGCAGAGAUGAGGCAAAACCAACCCUUCUGAGUUUUACAUAUUCUUCCUCAUCUGGGUUCACAACCUAUUAGCCAACAACAUUUACUUUCCUAUUAUAUACUUGGGUGUCUUGUCCAUUGGUGCCAUUGCCACUGCCAUUAAUCGUCUCAAUAGUCUCCCUGAGAUACAGAAGCAAUUGAACCAUUGCUUAAGAAGAAAUGGUAAGCAGCAAAAAUGGGAGAUGUAACUACAGUAACUCUUUUGAUGGGUGUGGGGAUCUCAAGGAAAUGAAGAAAGGGUUGGAAACCCUGUUUUGUCUACUGGUCAGGGAAGCCAAUUAGCAUGGAGGUCCAAGAGAUAAUGUUGGGUGCAAGAGCUGUCCCAAAAAUCUGGGUGGUAGACACCAUUCGUUGUUCACACUUAGAGUACACAGUUAUUAGAGCAUUGAUCACUGGUGUUUCAGAAACAAACCCUGUGUCCAUCAUGCAACCAUGAAGCUGCAAGCCUAGAUACAAGUCUCUUGGUUCUGAACAGGCCUUUGUGACGCUUGUCAAGGUGUAGCCAUCAAAUCCUACACCCUCCUUUAAGAAGAGACAUAAAUGCCACUAUUGAGAGGGUUGUUUGGGAUGUUAGUCCAGAGAUAAAGAUUGCUGUAGAAAACAUAAUA